ensembl:miRNA Mir721 microRNA 721
GGAAGACAGUGCAAUUAAAAGGGGGAAAAAAGUACCUGGGAUGUUCUGAGAAUUUCAUUUUUCUUGUUAUUGCCACUCCUGCUUGGAA